rnacentral:rRNA from 1 species
AUUGAACGCUGGCGGCAGGCCUAACACAUGCAAGUCGAGCGAGCGGCGGACGGGUGAGUAAUGUCUGGGAAACUGUCUGAUGGAGGGGGAUAACUACUGGAAACGGUAGCUAAUACCGCAUACCCUCAGAUGUGCCCAGAUGGGAUUAGCUAGUAGGUUGGGUAACGGCUCACCUAGGCGACGAUCCCUAGCUGGUCUGAGAGGAUGACCAGCAGCACUGGAACUGAGACACUGUCCAGGCUCCUACGGGAGGCAGCAGUGGGGAAUAUUGCACAAUGGGCGCAAGCCUGAUGCAGCCAUGCCGAGUUGGUGAAGAAGGCCUUCGGGUUGUAAAGCACUUUCAGCGGGGAGGCGUUACCCGCAGAAGAAGCACCGGCUAACUCCGUGCCAGCAGCCGCGGUAAUUC